GUAGGUGAACCUGCGGAAGGAUCAUUACUGAGGAUUCCUGGCGCGAGCUGGGGAUACCCGACCUAUUGUCAUGUGCACGUCGGGGAGGAACGGUGGCGUGCUUUUAGGUGUGUGGUUGUGACGGAUCGUACCCGAGAGGGUGGGAUCUGGAACGGCCCGCGCCGGCGCUGGCGCCCUGACGAACCUUAACUUCGGCGGAAGAGGUAGGCUGGACCUGCCCGCCGCCGGCCGUAGCCCAUUUUUACUCUAUGCAAGGAGAAUCUGAAGCCUGAUGUGAGCAACACGAAAAAUGAAAAGCAAAACUUUCAACAACGGAUCUCUUGGCUCUG
rnacentral:misc_RNA from 1 species